AUAUUGGACAAUGGGGGCAACCCUGAUCCAGCAAUGCCGCGUGAGUGAUGAAGGCCUUAGGGUUGUAAAGCUCUUUCGGCGGGGACGAUGAUGACGGUACCCGCAGAAGAAGCCCCGGCUAACUUCGUGCCAGCAGCCGCGGUAAUACGAAGGGGGCGAGCGUUGUUCGGAAUUACUGGGCGUAAAGGGCGCGCAGGCGGUCCCUCAAAUCAGGCGUGAAAGCCCCGGGCUCAACCUGGGAAUUGCGCUUGAGACUGGGGGACUUGAGGACGGGAGAGGAGAGUGGAAUUCCCAGUGUAGAGGUGAAGUUCGUAGAUAUUGGGAAGAACACCAAUGGCGAAGGCAGCUCUCUGGACCGUUACUGACGCUGAGGCGCGAAAGCGUGGGGAGCAAACAGG
rnacentral:rRNA from 1 species